AAUAUACUCCCUCCGUCCGAAAAUACUUGUCAUGAAAAUGGAUAAAAAGGAUGUAUCUAGAAUUAAAAUAAUACAUCUAGAUACAUCCCCUUUUAUUCAUUUUGGUGACAAGUAUUUCCGGACGAAGGGAGUAUAUG
rfam:Triticum aestivum genome assembly, contig: Triticum_aestivum_CS42_TGACv1_scaffold_603941_7DL